rnacentral:rRNA from 1 species
UUUUUAAAGAAAAAUAAUUUUAAGUAAAAUCUGCUCAAUGUUUAAUAAAUAGCCGCUAAUCGUGCUAAGGUAGCAUAAUCACUCGCUUAUUAAUUAUAAGAUAGAAUGAAUGAUUUAACAUUUUUAUUCUUAUUUUAAUUUAAUUAUUUAAAUUUUGAUUUUAAAUAAAAAUAUUUAAAUAUAAAAAAAAGACGAUAAGACCCUAUCGAACUUAACUUAAGUUAAGUUGGGACAACUAAUUAAUUAUAAUUUUAAUUUUUAAAAAAAAAAACUUAUCUAGUAUUAUUAAAUAAAUCAAGUUACCGUAGGGAUAACAGCGCAAUUAUUUUUAAAAGCUCUUAUUUAAAAAAUAGAUUACGACCUCGAUGUUGAAUUAUAAACUCUUAUAUAAGCAAAAAUAUAUAAAGAAAGUCUGUUCGACUUUAAAUUUUAUACA